rnacentral:lncRNA from 1 species
CUAUGCCCUAGGGCUAGUGGAAGACUUAAGAUGGCGGCGUUUGCACGGAGUGCAAUCACUGCGUCCUUACGGGGGUUGCAAGGCGUCCGAAGUAUGAGUCCACUAACAAAAGUCCAGAAACUCGCCAGUUAAUAGUAUUGUGUCUCUUCAAAAUAUCGGAGAAUAAUUUCUUUCUCGCUGAUCGCCUAACUUCUACUGACGAAGCUUGGAAGUUGCAGAAGAUGGAGUUCGCUCUUGUUGCCCAGGCUGGAAUGCAAUGGCAUGACCUUGGCUCACUGCAACCUCUGCCUCCCCAGUUCAAGUGGUUCUCCUGCCUCAGCCUCCCGAGUAGCUGAGAUUACAGGUACUGGCUCCUGUAUCACCCAGCUCUGGAGUUGAAAGAGCUCUUCAUUCCUGAGUCUCCUGUACCACUGAGAAUAGGCUGGAGUGCAGUGGCGCAAUCUCGGCUCUCUGCAACCUUCACCUCCCGUGUUCAAGUGAUUCUCCUGCCUCAGCCUCCUGAAUACCUGAGAUUACAAGCAUGCACCACCACGCCCGUCUAAUUUUGUAUUUUCACUAGAGACGGGGUUUCUCCAUGUUGGUCAGGCUGGUCUCGAACUCCCGACCUCAGGUGAUCCGCCCGCCUCAGCCUCCCAAAGUGCUGGGAUUACAGGCAUGAGCCACCGCGUCCAGCAAGAAUAGGUGAUUUUCAAACUUGGAAACAUUCAGAAGUUAUCGCCUCAGUUUCAGAUUGAGUAGUCUCAAAGAGAUUACAGACAUCUACCACAAAUUCUCUACUUGGUGUGGUGCAAAAUCAGUAUGAUGUAAACUUUGUCUCUCAGUUUCUUCAAAGGAAAGAAGCAACUGGAACACACAUAUAACACUAACCCUUCCAGCUGCAUUAUGAGGGACCAGUACCUGUCUCAAGGCAAAAUUAUGACUUAGUUCAUCCUCACCUCUGGAGGCCAGUAAAAGUGGGUUAUAGAAGAACAAAGAGGCAUCUAGAUCUUUCACUGGGUUAUUUGGAGAGAAACAUCUCCUACCGAAGGCCAGUUUAACAAGACUGGUAGAGGAGGUUAUCUUAUCUAAUUCACAGAAAUCAACACAUUGAGUCAAGAAAAAUGAAACACAGAAACACUCUAAAUAAAAGAAGAUAAGUCUUCAGAAACCAACCCUAAUGAAAUGAAGAUAUGUGAUUAACCUGACAGGAAAUUAAAAAGAGCAACCAUAAAGAGUCUCAUGGGAGCAAUGCAUGAACAAACUGAGAAUUUUCAUAAAGAAAUAAAAGAUAACAAAAAGUAUAAAGUUGAAGAAUACAAUAACUGGACUCAAAAAUUUAAUGUGUCCAACAGAAGAAUCGAUGAAGCAGAAGAAAGGGCUAUCAAACUUGUAGAUAGGCCAUUGGAAAUCAUGUAAUGUGAGGAGAAAAAAGAAAAAAGAUUGAAGAUAGUUUAAGAGACUUUUGAGACAUCCUCAAAGGGGAAUAAUUUAUACAUUACCAGAUGGAGAAGAUAGAGGGAAAAGGACAGAAAACAUAUUUGAAGAAAUAAUGUCAGAAAACCUCAUAAUUCUGGCAAGGAAAUAGAAAUUUAGAUCUAAGAAUCUCGAACAUCAGGUAUGAUGAAUCCAAGGAGACUCACACCAAACCAUAUUGUAAUUAAAUAAAGGUUAAAGACAAUCUUCAGAGCAGCAAGGGAAUAGUCUCUUCUUACAUACAAAAUGAUCCACGGAAGACUGUCAGCAGACUUCACCAGAAAACUUUCACGCCAGAAGGCAGUCGUGAUAUAUACAAAAAGCUGAAAGGAAAACACUGCCAUCCAGGAAUACUAUCUCCAACUAUCCUGUGUUUCAAAAAUUAAGGAGAAAUAUAAAGUUCUCAAACAAAAGAUGUGGGAGUUUACCACCACUAGACCUGCACGGGAAGAAUUGCUAAAGGGAGUCCUUCAAGCUGUAGUAAAAGAGUGCUAAUUAGAAACAUGAAAACAAAUACAAAAAAAAUUCUAAAACUUGUAUGGAACUACAAAAGACAUUAAAUAAUCAAAGUAAUCUUGAGCAACAAGGACACAGCUGGAGGCAUCACUCUACCUGAUUUUGUAAUCCAUUAUCAAAAAACUGUGGUACCAGCAUAAAAACAGAUUCACUGACCAGUGGAACAGGAAAGCCCAGACAUAACUCAUACAUUUCCAUCCAAUUGAUUUUUGACAAAAGUGGCACACAGAAUGGGGAGAGGACAAAUAAAUAAAUAAAUUGUUUUGAGAUAUCUGUAUAUCUAUAUGUGAAAUUGAACCAUUUUCUCAUAGCAUAUAGAAAAAUCAACUCAAAAUGGAUUAAAGCCUGAAAUGUUGCCUUUGAAACUGUAAAACUACUAGUAGAAAAUAUAGGGGAAAAGCUCUAUGAUGUUGUUCUGGGCAAUGAUUUCUUGGAUACAUCCUUAAAAGCAUGGGCAGCAAAAACAGCCAGACAACUAUCAGGGAACCUGCCCAGAUAGUCACAUAGGUUCUUUUCUAUUUUCCCUAAGCAUUGGCCGGGUUGAGAAAUAAAGGGACAGAGUACAAAAGAGAGAAAUUUUAAAGCUGGGCAUCCUGGGGAGACAUCACAUGUCGGUAGGUUCCGUGAUGCCCCCUGAGCCGUAAAACCAGUAAGUUUUUAUUAGGGAUUUUCAAAGGGGAGGGAGUAUACGAAUAGGAGGUGGGUCACAGAGAUCACGUGCUUCACAAGGUAAUAGAAUAUCACAAGGCAAAUGGAGGCAGGGCGAGAUCACAGGACCACAGGACUGGGUUGAAAUUAAAAUUGCUAAUGAAGUUUCGGGCACCAUCGUCAUUGAUAACAUCUUAUCAGGAGACAGGGUUUGAGAGCAACCUGUCUGACCAAAAUUUAUUAGGUGGGAAUUUCCUCGUCCUAAUAAGCCUGGGAGCGCUAUGGGAGACUGGGGCUUAUUUCAUCCCUACAGUCUCGACCAUAGAAGACAGCUACACCCAAGGGGGCCAUUUUAGAGGCCCACCCUCAGGGGCACAUUCUCUUUCUCAGGGAUGUUCCUUGCUGAGAAAAAGAAUUCGGCGAUAUUUCUCCCAUUUGCUUUUGAAAGAAGAGAAAUAUGGCUCUGUUCCGCCUGGCUCACCGGCGGUCAGAGUUUAAGGUUAUCUCUCUUAUUCCCUGAACAUUGCUGUUAUCCUGUUCUUUUUUCAAGGUGCCUAGAUUUCAUAUUGUUUAAACACACAUGCUCUACAAUUUCUGCACUUAACACAAUUAUCACAGGGUCCUGAGGCGACAUACGUCCUCCUCGGCUUACGAGAUGACAGGAUUAAGAGAUUAAAACAGGCAUAGGAAAUCACAAGGGUAUUGAUUGGGGAAGUGAUAAGUGUCCAUGAAAUCUUCACAAUUUAUGUUUAGAGAUUGCAGUAAAGACAGGCAUAAGAAAUUAUAAAAGUAUUAAUUUGGGGAACUAAUAAAUGUCCAUGAAAUCUUCACGAUCCACGUUCUUCCGCCAUGGCUUCAGCCAGUCCCUCCGUUUGGGGUCCCUGACUUCCCGCAACAGACAACUUGAGUUGCAUCAAACUAAAAAGCAUCUGCACUGCAAAGGGUACAGUUAACAGAAUGAAGACACGGGUUUUGAGAAACCAUUUUCAAAUCAUAUAUCUGAUAAGGGGCUAAUAUCCAAAAUGUAUUAAGAAACCCAAGCCCAAUAGCAAGAAAACAACUGUCUUUAAAAGGGGGAAAAGGACCUCAACUUAAAUUUUUCAGAGGAAGACAUGAGUGGCCAAUUGAUUGAUACAUGAAAAAAAUGCUCAACAUCUCUAAUCAUUAGUGAGUUGCAAAUCAAAACUGCAAGAUAUUACCUUACACCUUUUAGAAUGGCUAUUAUUAAAAGGAUGAAAGACAGGUGCUGGCAAGGAUGUGGAUAAAAGGAAGUCCCAACAUUCUGUUAGUGGGAAUAUAAAUUAGUAUAGCCAAUUUAGGAAACUAUAUGGUGGUUCCUUAAGAAACUAAAAGUACAAUUACUAUAUGAUCUAGCAAUCUCUACUUAGGUAUAUAUCCAAAGGAAUUGAAGCAGUAUGUUGAGAUCUUGCACUCCCUUAUUUUGAAAUUAUUUACAAAGCUAAUAAAUGGAAAAGACUUAAGUUUUCAUAACAGAUGAAUGGACAUAGAAGAUGUGUUGUAUAUACAUAUUGGAAUAUUUUUUAUCCUUGGAAAAGAAGGAAAAUUGUCAUUUGUGACAACAUGGAUGAAUCUGUAGUAUACUAUGCUAAGUGUUGUAAGACAGGCACAGAGAGGCAAAUACUACAUUAUAUUUGUAUGUGGAAUCUAAGAAAGGCUAACUCAUACAAGUAGAAAGUUGGAUGUUAUGGUUUCCAGGAUGUGGGUGUUGGAGAGAUGGGCAAAGGCAAGACGUUGGUCAAAGAGUACCAAUUUUCUGUUAGGAGGAAUAAGUUUUAGACAUAUUUCACAGCAUGGUGACCAUUGUCACUGACUGUAUAUUUUAAAAUUGUUAUAAGUAGAUAUUAAAGUUGUCACAACAAAAGUAGGUGAAGUUAUGGAUAUGUUAAUGUGCUUGAUUUAGUUAUUACACUAUGUAUACAUACAAAAACAUCAGAUAGUUCCCUGGAAUUAUAUACAAUUAUUACUUGUCAAUUAUAAAAAAAAGCCCUACUGCAACCACUAAAAAGGAUUUUCAUAUAAUAGAGGGAAAAAUCGUUAAAGAUAAUAAUACAUUAUUUUAGAAAAUAUUAACUUAUAAAAAGUAGUAUAGGAGGGAUUCUGUAAAAGAAGAUAGACAUAGAAUUUUAAAAUGUAUAAUGGAAAAUUUAAAUCCAGCUGUACUGAUGGAUCAAGCAAUCCAAACCAGUCUGAUUGACCAAGUGGAUAUUUAAAAAACAAUCAAACUAUAAGGUGUCUGUUGUAGGCAGUUUAUAAAAUACAAAAGUGUUGAAAGAAAUAGGAUGGAAAUAGAAAUAUCCAAGUAGCAACCACAAAAAAACUGGAAUGUCUGCACUAACAUCAUACAAAACAAACCAAAUGAAGGUUAAAAAUAUUGAAAUUAUACAAAAUAUGUUCUAUGACUAAAAUUUAAUGAAAUUAGAAAUAACACAGAGAUAGGAACUAUACAUAUUUGUGCAAAUUUAAAAAGUUAUGCUGAGUGUGGUGGCUCACACCUGUAAUCCCAGCACUUUGGGAGGCCGGGGAGGGUGGAUCACUUGAAGUCAGGAGUUGGAGACCAGCCUGGCCAACAUGGUGAAACCCUGUCUCUACUAAAAAUACAGAAAAUUAGCCAGAUGUGGUGGUGUGCGCCUGUAGUCCCAGCUACUCGGGUGGCUGAGGCACUAGAAUCACUUGAGCCUAGGAGGCAGAGGUGGCAGUGAGCCGAGAUCACACCACUGCACUGCAGCCUGGGCGACAAAGACUGUCAAAAAAAAAAAAAAAAAAAAAAAGUUACGUAACCAACAAGUCAAAGGAGAAUUUAUAAGGAAAUCAGAAAAUACUUUGAGGUGAAUGAAAAUACAGAAACAACAUAUCAAAUUCUGUGAGAUGUGUGAAAGCAACGCUUACAGUGAAAUUAAUAGCUAUGAACAUUGUAAUGAAAUGAGAAGUACUUCAAAUUACUAACCUAACUUUCCAACUUUAGAAAAUACAGUAAAAAAAGAACAAAUUAAAAUCAAAGCAGAAAGGAUAUAAAGUUUAGUGUGGAAAUAGAGAAUUAAAAAUAAUUGAGAAACACAGCACUUCGUUGACUUAUUCAUAAAAUAAAGCUUUAUUAAAAUGAGAAAUGUAAAACGUGAUGUUCCUAAUGACCUUAUUCCAUACAAGGGAUUAGUAUUUUGACAAAUAUCUUUGUGGAAGUAGACAAAUUCCUAGAAAGACACUGACUACCACAACUCAUUCAAGAACAAAGUGAAGACAAUAAAUUGGUAAUUUAAAAACUCUCACCCCUGCCCCUGACACACAUGUAAAUUCCCAGUUCAAAUGUAUUCUUUUGUAUAUUAUACCAAACACAUGAAAAUUACCAAUUCGAUAAAAAUGUCUUAAAAACUUGGAAGAGCAUGUAAUAUUUUUUACUGGUUCUAUGAUGCUAUUGUUAUCUAGAUACCAAAGUGAAACAUCAUACACAGGGAAAACUCUGAUAAUAUCGCUUAUGAGUGGAUCUGUGAAAUUUCCUAGUAAAUUUUGGCAAACCAAAUACAGUAACAUAUAAACAGGAAUGUACACCAGUACCCAGUACAGUGUAUCCCUGGAAUGCAACGUUAUUUCAUCAGCUGGAAAUGAUUAGUGCAACAGACUGAAGGAAGAAAACAACAUGGUCAUCUCAAUAGAUUGUGGACGGCUGGAAGUGGAGGCUCACGCCUGUAAUCCUAAUACUCCUACCAACAGUGUAUAAGCAUUCCUUUUUCUCUGUAACUUCACCAGAAUCUGUUUUUUUGUUUGUUUGUUUGUUUGUUUUUGACUUUGUAAUAGCCAUGGGCUGGGCUCAGUGACUCACGCCUGUAAUCCUAGCACUGGGGGAGGCUGAGGUGGGCGGAUCACUUGAGGUCAGGAGUUCGAGACCAGCCUGGCCAACAUGGUGAAACCCCAUCUCUACUAAAAAUACUAAAAUUACCUGUGCAUGGUGGCAAGUGCCUGUAAUCCCAGCUACUCGGGAGUCUGAGGCAGUAGAAUCACUUGAACCCAGGAGGUGGAGGUUGCAGUGAGCGGAGAUUGUGCCACUGCACUUGGACCUGGCUGACACAGCAAGACUAUGUUUAAAAAAAAAGAGAGAGAAAAAAAAAAUAGAAGGUGGAAAAAGUAUUUGGUAAACUAAGAAGUAAACCACAACCUAGUAAAGGGCAUAUUUUAAGAAUUCACAACUAGAACCUGGUGCCGUGGCUGUAAUCCCAGCACUUGGGGAAGCCAAAGCAGGAUUACUUGAGGCCAGAAGUCUGAGAUCAGCCUAGGCAAUAUAAGGAUACUCUGUAUCUUAAAAAAAAAAAAAAAAUCCAGAUGUGAUGACACAUGCCUGUACGCCUAGCUACUUGGGAAGCUGAGGUUCAUGUUUACAAUGAGCUAUGAUGAUGCCACUGUACUCCUGACUGAACAACAGAGUGAGACCCUGUCUCUAAAAAGCAAAACAAAACAGAAAACCCAAAACCCUCAAAACUAAUGUUACACUUAGUAUUUAAAGAAUGCUUUCUCUGUAAGAAGAGGAGCAAGGACAGGAUAAAACAUUCUUGCCAGUUCUGUUCAACAGUGUACUGGAAGUAUCUGUGACAUUAAUUGCAUUGCAUAUGGAAGGAAAUAAAAUUUUUUAAAUAGGAAGCAGCAAAACCUUUUGCAGAUGACAUGGUUUUGUACAUACACAACCCCAGUGGAUCCAAUAAAUUUGGAUUCCAAUAACAAGAUCAUCUCAGCAAGUUUUUGUGAUUUAAGAUUACAAUCCAAAAAUCAGUUGUAUUUCUAUAUAUUAUUAAAGAAGUCAAAAGUGACAUCAUUGAAACAUUUUUAUUUACAAUAUUAUUAAGGCAAAAUACUGUGGGAUAAAGUGAAAUUCAGCAUGAACUGUGAAUAACACAAAAUAUUUGUCAGAGGAGUUGAGGAAUAUCUACAUAUGUGGAAAGACAUCUCAUAUUUGUGGACUAGAAGAUUUAAGCAUCGCUAGGUGCGGUGGCUCACGCCUGUAAUCCCAGCACUUUGGUAGGCUGAGGUGGGCGGAUCACAAGGUCGGGAGUUCGAGACCAGCCUGGCCAAUAUGGUGAAACCCCGUCUCUACUAAAAAUACAAAAAAAUUAGGCGGGUGUGGUGGCGCAUGCCUGUAAUCCCAAUCCCUCUAGGCUGAGGCAGG